UAAUCAGGGAACUCGCGGUAAGAUUGGGC
rnacentral:piRNA from 1 species